rnacentral:rRNA from 1 species
AGUGAACGCUGGCGGUAGGCCUAACACAUGCAAGUCGAACGGCAGCACAGUAAGAGCUUGCUCUUACGGGUGGCGAGUGGCGGACGGGUGAGGAAUACAUCGGAAUCUACUUUUUCGUGGGGGAUAACGUAGGGAAACUUACGCUAAUACCGCAUACGACCUACGGGUGAAAGCAGGGGAUCUUCGGACCUUGCGCGAUUGAAUGAGCCGAUGUCGGAUUAGCUAGUUGGCGGGGUAAAGGCCCACCAAGGCGACGAUCCGUAGCUGGUCUGAGAGGGUGAUCAGCCACACUGGAACUGAGACACGGUCCAGACUCCUACGGGAGGCAGCAGUGGGGAAUAUUGGACAAUGGGCGCAAGCCUGAUCCAGCCAUGCCGCGUGGGUGAAGAAGGCCUUCGGGUUGUAAAGCCCUUUUGUUGGGAAAGAAAAGCAGCAGGUUAAUACCCCGCUGUUCUGACGGUACCCAAAGAAUAAGCACCGGCUAACUUCGUG